rnacentral:rRNA from 1 species
CUUGACCGCUGGCGGCAGGCUUAACACAUGCAAGUCGAACGAGUGGCGGACGGGUGAGUAAUGCUUGGGAAUCUCGCUUAUGGAGGGGGAUAACUACGGGAAACUGUAGCUAAUACCGCGUACAAUAGGAUGAGCCCAAGUGGGAUUAGGUAGUAGGUGAGGUAAAGGGUCACCAAGCCGAAGAUCUCUAGCUGGUCGGAGAGGAUGACUAUCCACGCUGGGACUGAGACACGGACCAGACUCCGAUGGGAGGCAGCAGUGGGGAAUAUUGCGCAAGGGGGGCAACCCUGACGCAGCCAUGCCGCGUGUAUGAAGAAGGCCUUCGGGUUGUAAAGAACUUUCAGCGAGGAGGCGUUACUCGCAGAAGAAGCACCGGCUAACUCCGUGCCAGCAGCCGCGGUAAUUC